UCCAGACUCCUACGGGAGGCAGCAGUGAGGAAUAUUGGUCAAUGGGCGGAAGCCUGAACCAGCCAAGUCGCGUGAGGGAAGAAGGCCCUGCGGGUCGCAGACCUCUUUGGACGGGGAGCAAGGCCGCCGACGUGUCGGCGGAAGGAGAGUACCCGUAGAACAAGCAUCGGCUAACUCCGUGCCAGCAGCCGCGGUAAUACGUAGGGGGCAAGCGUUAUCCGGAUUUACUGGGUGUAAAGGGGGCGCAGACGGCGAUGCAAGCCAGGAGUGAAAGCCCGGGGCCCAACCCCGGGACUGCUCUUGGAACUGCGUGGCUGGAGUGCAGGAGGGGCAGGCGGAAUUCCUGGUGUAGCGGUGAAAUGCGUAGAUAUCAGGAGGAACACCAGUGGCGAAGGCGACUUUCUGGACUGUACCUGACGCUGAGGCGCGAAAGCGUGGGUAGCGAACGGGAUUAGAUACCCCCGUAUA
rnacentral:rRNA from 1 species